AUUGAACGCUGGCGGAAUGCUUUACACAUGCAAGUCGAACGGCAGCACGGGAGCUUGCUCCUGGUGGCGAGUGGCGAACGGGUGAGUAAUAUAUCGGAACGUACCCCGUCGUGGGGGGAUAACUCUCCGAAAGGAGUGCUAAUACCGCAUACGACCUGAGGGUGAAAGCGGGGACCUGCAAGGGCCUCGCGCGAUGGGAGCGGCCGAUAUCGGAUUAGCUAGUUGGUGAGGUAAAGGCUCACCAAGGCGACGAUCCGUAGCGGGUCUGAGAGGACGACCCGCCACACUGGAACUGAGACACGGUCCAGACUCCUACGGGAGGCAGCAGUGGGGAAUUUUGGACAAUGGGGGAAACCCUGAUCCAGCCAUUCCGCGUGAGUGAAG
rnacentral:rRNA from 1 species